rnacentral:rRNA from 1 species
GAUGAACGCUGGCGGCGUGCCUAAUACAUGCAAGUCGAGCGAACGGACGAGAAGCUUGCUUCUCUGAUGUUAGCGGCGGACGGGUGAGUAACACGUGGAUAACCUACCUAUAAGACUGGGAUAACUUCGGGAAACCGUAGCUAAUACCGGAUAAUAUUUUGAACCGCAUGGUUCAAAAGUGAAAGACGGUCUUGCUGUCACUUAUAGAUGGAUCCGCGCUGCAUUAGCUAGUUGGUAAGGUAACGGCUUACCAAGGCAACGAUGCAUAGCCGACCUGAGAGGGUGAUCGGCCACACUGGAACUGAGACACGGUCCAGACUCCUACGGGAGGCAGCAGUAGGGAAUCUUCCGCAAUGGGCGAAAGCCUGACGGAGCAACGCCGCGUGAGUGAUGAAGGUCUUCGGGUCGUAAAACUCUGUUAUUAGGGAAGAACAUAUGUGUAAGUAACUGUGCACAUCUUGACGGUACCUAAUCAGAAAGCCACGGCUAACUACGUGCCAGCAGCCGCGGUAAUACGUAGGUGGCAAGCGUUAUCCGGAAUUAUUGGGCGUAAAGCGCGCGUAGGCGGUUUUUUAAGUCUGAUGUGAAAGCCCACGGCUCAACCGUGGAGGGUCAUUGGAAACUGGAAAACUUGAGUGCAGAAGAGGAAAGUGGAAUUCCAUGUGUAGCGGUGAAAUGCGCAGAGAUAUGGAGGGACACCAGUGGCGAAGGCGACUUUCUGGUCUGUAACUGACGCUGAUGUGCGAAAGCGUGGGGAUCAAACAGGAUUAGAUACCCUGGUAGUCCACGCCGUAAACGAUGAGUGCUAAGUGUUAGGGGGUUUCCGCCCCUUAGUGCUGCAGCUAACGCAUUAAGCACUCCGCCUGGGGAGUACGACCGCAAGGUUGAAACUCAAAGGAAUUGACGGGGACCCGCACAAGCGGUGGAGCAUGUGGUUUAAUUCGAAGCAACGCGAAGAACCUUACCAAAUCUUGACAUCCUUUGACAACUCUAGAGAUAGAGCCUUCCCCUUCGGGGGACAAAGUGACAGGUGGUGCAUGGUUGUCGUCAGCUCGUGUCGUGAGAUGUUGGGUUAAGUCCCGCAACGAGCGCAACCCUUAAGCUUAGUUGCCAUCAUUAAGUUGGGCACUCUAAGUUGACUGCCGGUGACAAACCGGAGGAAGGUGGGGAUGACGUCAAAUCAUCAUGCCCCUUAUGAUUUGGGCUACACACGUGCUACAAUGGACAAUACAAAGGGCAGCGAAACCGCGAGGUCAAGCAAAUCCCAUAAAGUUGUUCUCAGUUCGGAUUGUAGUCUGCAACUCGACUACAUGAAGCUGGAAUCGCUAGUAAUCGUAGAUCAGCAUGCUACGGUGAAUACGUUCCCGGGUCU